rnacentral:rRNA from 1 species
UACGUAGGGUGCGAGCGUUAAUCGGAAUUACUGGGCGUAAAGCGCGCGUAGGCGGCUUUGUAAGUUAGAGGUGAAAGCCCGGAGCUCAACUCCGGAACUGCCUUUAAAACUGCAUCGCUUGAAUCCAGGAGAGGUGAGUGGAAUUCCGAGUGUAGAGGUGAAAUUCGUAGAUAUUCGGAAGAACACCAGUGGCGAAGGCGGCUCACUGGACUGGUAUUGACGCUGAGG